GAUGAAGAACGCAGCGAAAUGCGAUACGUAAUGUGAAUUGCAGAAUUCAGUGAAUCAUCGAGUCUUUGAACGCACAUUGCGCCCCCUGGUAUUCCGGGGGGCAUGCCUGUCCGAGCGUCAUUGCUGCCCUCAAGCCCGGCUUGUGUGUUGGGUCUCGUCCCCCUUCCCGGGGGGACGGGCCCGAAAGGCAGCGGCGGCACCGUGUCCGGUCCUCGAGCGUAUGGGGCUUUGUCACCCGCUCUGUAGGCCCGGCCGGCGCUUGCCGAUCAACAAAAACUUUUUUCCAGGUUGACCUCGGAUCAGGUAGGGAUACCCGCUGAACUUAAGCAUAUCAAUAAGCGGAGGA
rnacentral:misc_RNA from 1 species